UAACCGGUGGCCUAGUGGUUAGAGCGUCCGCCUCAGAUGUUAGAUGUCAUGGGUUUGAACCCCAGCCGAAUUAA